AGCUGAUAGAACGAUGUAACUGUGUCCCAGCUGGUGAACAGUGCAAACCAGAGGGAAAAUCUGUAACAACAGAAAUCAGGAAUAAGGUGAACCCAGGUGCAGAUCACUGCUUUCCCAGGGUUCACAACAACUACACAGACAGAAGACUGUACAGAACUGUCAGAACAUGAAGCACUUGAUUUGUAGAAGUGGAUAGCCUCAUUUUAAUUCCUGCAGCAGCGGGUGUAAAAUUAUGCCAAUAUAUGAUUUUUCAUGCAAAUAAAGGCUUAUGUUCAAAUUUCUGAAGUUUAAAGUUUUCAGUGGAAAGUAAAUGCAUGGAAUUGCAAACACAAUGCUGAUUUCCUCCCUCAGUCAGAUCUUUCAUUAAGGACCUGGUUCAAGAGAAAAGAAACCUGUGAAAAAUAUAGUCCAUGGCUUCAUGUCCAGCAGACUUAUUUAUCCUCUGCAGGUCAGCCUAGCCCUCAAAUUGUGGCUGGAACUGAAAAUUUUGAGAAGAUUGGUCAUAAAGAGAGAAAAAAGAAUGGAGGGCUCACUCUAGUAAAAAGAAAAUUUAUUCCCAAUUCAUCAUGUAAAGACAACUGAUGUGUGGCUCUGCAUGACAUUGUCAGGAAUUCAAAGUUACUCCAUCCAAAACAAGAAGUAAUUCCUCUAUAAUCAAUAAAUUUAUAGUGACAAUAAUCCACCUCAAAUUUGUCAUUCUCAUUUUCCUUCCAUUUGGAGAUUCUCCAGUUUCUUUUUGUGACAAGUGUCCUUUUCAAAUUUCUCCUUUGAAUGACACACUGCCAUCUAUAAUCAUCAUGGAUUCUGCAAGUCUUCAGUUUUGUUUACUGUGGUAUGCUGGCAAGGCAGUGUGCAUAUAUGCUACUGGAUGUUGGACAUUUUUUUUUCUUUUUUUGUGAUCCUGUCUCCUUUUCGUGGCCAAGAACCAAAAAGAUAAGUGCCUAUACAGCUGCAAGUAACUGCUAUUUUUCUUUUGGUUGAAGUGGAAGAAGCCUGAGAUUUUAAAGCAAAUGGGCCUUUGUUCAAUCAUGUAGAGUACGUAGUCGGUGAUGGGGGUGUCUUGUAUUUAUACAUCCAUGGGAUCAUCACACUAUCUAGUGGAAGAAAUUAGUAUGUAUCCUCUCAGAAGGUCUCUUAAGUUUGUCAAAAAAAAACCCUCUAGCUAUGUGAGAAUUGUAAGUUCUGGAAUGUGGUAAACCCCAGGACAUUGUAUUGAUGUUCCAUUAGGUGGCACUGUUUCAUCUGAGCUAAUAUUGAACCAGUGUUUUAGCAGCAUGCUGCAUGGCAUUUUCCUGCUGAAGCUAAAGUAUUUUAGGUACGACAAUGAAUAGAGACUGCAUGUGGUUAUUA